rnacentral:lncRNA from 1 species
AGAAAUGUCAGAGCUCCCAGAAAAAGUAAGUGCGCAUAUUAAAAUUAUAUAUAUUUCGAAUUAAAAGAGUCGUAUAUGUAGUGAUGAGUCUUCCUUCUCAGCUUCUUCUUGUGGUGGAAUUUAUUUUCCUGUACAUACGCAAAUUGUUGUUGGGAGUUCUUUUUCGGGCAUGCAGAGAGCAACUUUCGUCAGAGCUGCAUGGCCACCAAUGCCACCAAAAAUUUAAUGCGCCACGGACUCGGAACUCCUGACAGUCGGCAGUAGGCGGACUCUGGCUUCGGCUUCGGCUGCGGCUGCGGCUGCGGCUGAGGGUGUGCGCCAAAAGCAAUAAAUUUUCAUGCCCACUGUCAGAGUCGAGAGCGGAGCGUGUUCUGGGAGGGGACAGGUCCAGGUCCAGGUCCAGGUUCUGUUCCACCUCCCGCAGCUAGUGCCGUCGGGCUGAGUGUCAUAUUUCUGGGCGGCACAUCUUACGGAAGGUAUUUUCGCUGGGUAAUGGCAGCAUGAAUAACAAAUUUUCAAGAUCGAGUUCUCAUUUGCUUUAAAUUUAUUUGUAAUAUUGCCACACAUUUUGCUUUUCUUUCACAGUUUCAUUUAUCUGGAAUUGACGUCAAUUUCAUCAGUAAUUGUACCGUUAACGGUGGAAAGCGUAUUUCUCCUUCGCUUUCGUGACAAAGUCUUUUCAUGUUUGCUUUCAUUUCAUUCGCCGUUAUUCGCUUCUUUUUUUGUGUUUAUUUUACGACCACGGACAAAAGUCCCGUUUCAUUUUUUGCCACUUUUGUAGCGUUUUACAGUCAUAUGAAUAUUAAAUUAAAUUUCGGUGCUCUCUUCUCAUUUAAAUUGUGUGUGUGAGGGUGGCACAGACGCAGGGAAUUGGAAUUGAAAUGGCAGACUACGUACACGCCUCGACUCUGCUUGAUAAUGGAAACAGCAGAGUGGCAAAUGCAGAAGAUGCCACAUGUGCCAUUCAUCAGGGGCGGCUAUCCGCUUUUAAUCAAAUGCAAAGUUGACCAAAGAACCGGAAAGAGAACCGGCAGACAUGGAGAGUGGGACAGGUACAUUCUGCAGCCUCAAGAUGGCCAAGUGUGCCCUUCCUUCCAUCCCUGCAUCGGCAAAUGCAAAGCAGUUAGAGCCGCUGGGUGCUGGGUGCUGCCUGCUGACUGUGCCUGAUAUGGCUCACUUCUGUCAUUUAUCUUCUUUUACGGUUUGCAAGGGCGUGCCCGACGACCAUUCGGUUCCAGAGGUGCAAGCCAGCUGCUGAGCAACGUAUGAGGAAGCACACACAUAAACACACAAUAUACACUGGCAGAAAUAAUAUCGAAAUUAAAAUUCGGCUGACUCCAUUUUAAGCUUGAAAUUUAGGAAAAAAAACGUUUUAUUUGGUUGAGUAGUGUGAUCAGAAUAAAGAGAAACAUUAAUCUACUUUCGCUCGGUGUAUUCCUGGACAAUCCCACACACAAAUCUGUACGAGUGUGUGCCGCACAUGGCUGUGCAUAUUUGAGAAAUUGUGUUUGCACUUUGGCU